GACGUUGAAACACCAGUUCUCGUACGAACACCAACGUUAAGCAUCGUCGAGCCUGAUCAGUACCUAGGUGGGUGACCGCAUUGGAAUACCAGAUCCUGUAA